GUUCCAUGAUUGAAAACCAUGCGCGUCAUCUGAGCUCAGUUUUUCUGAGCAUUGUAGGAUGAUUGUUUUCUCUGAGAAC
rnacentral:ncRNA from 1 species